CUCAGUUCGGAUUGGGGUCUGCAACUCGACCCCAUGAAGUCGGAAUCGCUAGUAAUCGCGUAACAGCAUGACGCGGUGAAUACGUUCCCGGGCCUUGUACACACCGCCCGUCACACCAUGGGAGUUGGGUCUACCCGAAGGUGGUGCGCUAACCGCAAGGAGGCAGCCAACCACGGUAGGCUCAGCGACUGGGGUGAAGUCGUAACAAGGUAGCCGUAGGGGAACCUGCGGCUGGAUCACCUCCUUU
rnacentral:rRNA from 1 species